GCAUAUCAAUAAGCGGAGGAAAAGAAACCAACAGGGAUUGCCUCAGUAACGGCGAGUGAAGCGGCAACAGCUCAAAUUUGAAAUCUGGCCUCUUUGGGGUCCGAGUUGUAAUUUGUAGAGGAUGUUUCGGGCACCGCUCCGGUUUAAAUUUCUUGGAACAGAAUGUCAAAGAGGGUGAGAACCCCGUCUUGGACCGGCAGUAGGGCCCAUGUGAAACUCCUUCGACGAGUCGAGUUGUUUGGGAAUGCAGCUCAAAAUGGGUGGUAAAUUUCAUCUAAAGCUAAAUAUUGGCCAGAGACCGAUAGCGCACAAGUAGAGUGAUCGAAAGAUGAAAAGCACUUUGAAAAGAGAGUUAAACAGUACGUGAAAUUGUUGAAAGGGAAGCGCUUGCAACCAGACUUGCGCGCGGCGGUUCCCCCUUCCUUUUGGUUGGGUUAUUCCGCCGUGUCCAGGCCAACAUCGGUUCUGGGGGUCGGUUAAAGGCCUGGGGAAUGUAUCUACCCUUCGGGCGUAGACUUAUAGCCCCGGGUGUCAUGCGACCUCCCGGGACCGAGGAACGCGCUUCGGCUCGGAUGUUGGCGUAAUGGUUGUCAGCGACCCGUCUUGAAACACGGACCAAGGAGUCUAACAUCUAUGCGAGUGUUUGGGUGUCAAACCCGGAACGCGGAAUGAAAGUGAACGGAGGUAGGAAGCUUCGGCUGCACUAUCGACCGAUCCUGAUGUCUUCGGAUGGAUUUGAGUAAGAGCAUAGCUGUUGGGACCCGAAAGAUGGUGAACUAUGCCUGAAUAGGGUGAAGCCAGAGGAAACUCUGGUGGAGGCUCGCAGCGGUUCUGACGUGCAAAUCGAUCGUCAAAUUUGGGUAUAGGGGCGAAAGACUAAUCGAACCAUCUAGAAGCUGGUU
rnacentral:rRNA from 1 species